rnacentral:rRNA from 1 species
GAGUUUGAUCUUGGCUCAGAUUGAACGCUGGCGGCAGGCCUAACACAUGCAAGUCGAGCGGUAGAGAGAAGCUUGCUUCUCUUGAGAGCGGCGGACGGGUGAGUAAUGCCUAGGAAUCUGCCUGGUAGCGGGGGAUAACGCUCGGAAACGGACGCUAAUACCGCAUACGUCCUACGGGAGAAAGCAGGGGACCUUCGGGCCUUGCGCUAUCAGAUGAGCCUAGGUCGGAUUAGCUAGUUGGUGAGGUAAUGGCUCACCAAGGCGACGAUCCGUAACUGGUUUGAGAGGAUGAUCAGUCACACUGGAACUGAGACACGGUCCAGACUCCUACGGGAGGCAGCAGUGGGGAAUAUUGGACAAUGGGCGAAAGCCUGAUCCAGCCAUGCCGCGUGUGUGAAGAAGGUCUUCGGAUUGUAAAGCACUUUAAGUUGGGAGGAAGGGCAGUAAAUUAAUACUUUGCUGUUUUGACGUUACCGACAGAAUAAGCACCGGCUAACUCUGUGCCAGCCG